CCAUGCAAGUCGAGGGGCAGCAUAGAGUAGCAAUACUUUGAUGGCGACCGGCGCACGGGUGAGUAACACGUAUGCAACCUACCUACAUCAGGGGAAUAACGGAGAAAUUCGGACUAAUACCGCAUAAUACAGGGAUGCCGCAUGGCAAUAUUUGUUAAAGAUUUAUCGGAUGUAGAUGGGCAUGCGUUCCAUUAGCUAGUUGGUAAGGUAACGGCUUACCAAGGCAACGAUGGAUAGGGGAACUGAGAGGUUUGUCCCCCACACUGGAACUGAGACACGG
rnacentral:rRNA from 1 species